rnacentral:rRNA from 1 species
AUGGGUGGCUGCUACUCUGUCAUCGCGGCCUCCAGGCUGCUGGCCCGGAGGCGCGCCGCCGCCGCCAUCAUGCCCGUGGCCAGCGCCGACGACUGCCCGCCCGACAGCGACGCCAGCAGCAGCUGCUGCAAGAAGAAGCGCAGGUCGACCAAGUGGAGGCGGAGCGCGCCGAUCCUGGGCGACGACGACCAGUGCGCGCCCGGCGGGGAGGGCUUCGCCAAGCGGUACCGGCUAGGCGCGGAGCUGGGGCGCGGGGAGUUCGGGGUGACGCGCCGCUGCGAGGACGCGGCCACGGGCGAGGCGCUGGCGUGCAAGACCAUCCGCCGCAAGCGCCUGCGCCGCGCCGCCGACGCCGAGGACGUGCGGCGGGAGGUGGAGAUCCUGCGGCGCAUGUCGGCGCUCGAGGGAGCGGGCGGCGCCGUGGUGCGGCUCCGCGAGGCCUGCGAGGACCCCGAGGGCGUGCACCUGGUGAUGGAGCUGUGCGAGGGCGGCGAGCUCUUCGACCGCAUCUUCGCCCGGGGCCACUACACGGAGCGCGCCGCCGCCAAGAUCGGCCGCACCAUCGCCCACGUCGUGCAGCUGUGCCACGACAACGGGGUCAUGCACCGGGACCUCAAGCCCGAGAACUUCCUCUUCGCCGGCAAGGCCGAGGACUCGCCGCUCAAGGCCAUCGACUUCGGCCUCUCCGUCUACUUCGAGCCCGGGGAGCGCUUCACCGAGGUGGUCGGCAGCGGGAUCUACAUGGCGCCGGAGGUGCUCAUGAGGAGCUACGGCCCGGAGGCCGACGUCUGGAGCGCCGGCGUCAUCCUCUACAUCCUACUCUGCGGAGUGCCUCCGUUCUGGGGAGACAACGAUGAGCGCAUCGCCGAGUCGAUAAUCCGGGGUGAAAUCAACUUCGAGAGGGAGCCAUGGCCCAAGGUCUCCCAAACUGCAAAGGACCUUGUCAAGAAGAUGCUUGAUCAGGAUCCUGCUACCCGCUUGACGGCAAAGCAAGUCUUUGAGCAUCCGUGGAUCAAGAACGCCGACAAGGCUCCGAAUGUGUCGCUUGGAGCGCUUGUUCGAUCCAGGCUUAAGCAAUUCUCGUCCAUGAACAAGUUCAAAAAGAAGGCACUCGGAGUCGUUGCCAAGAAUUUACCGCCAGAGGACAUCGAGAACUACACUAAGAUGUUUCAAAUGAUGGACAAGGACAAGGACGGUACUUUGACGCUUGAGGAGCUCAAGGAGGGCUUGCGGAUAAACGGUCAUGCUGUUCCUGAGACAGAGAUACAGAUGCUGUUAGAAGCUGGUGACAUAGAUGGAAAUGGCACCUUGGACACUGACGAGUUUGUGACAGUCUUACUUCACAUCAAAAAAAUGAGUAAUGAGCAGUACCUACCUGAAGCUUUCAAAUACUUUGACAAAGAUGGCAAUGGAUAUAUUGAAAUGGAGGAAUUGAUGGAGGCUUUAGGUGAUGAUGAACUAGGCCCAGAUGAGCAAGUGGUUAAAGACAUUAUACGUGACGUUGACACGGAUGAGGAUGGUCGCAUUAGCUAUCAGGAGUUUGAAGUGAUGAUGAGAUCUGGCUCAGACUGGAGGAAUGCUUCUCGGCGGUACUCAACAGCAAAUUUCAGCAACCUCAGUCAGAAGCUGCGCCAAGGAGUUCUAUGA